GCUGCUAUGACCAUGGACCACUUCCUAUCUGUGGGACUGGGAUGGGCUGCUAUGACCAUGGACCACUUCCUAUCUGUGGGACUGGGAUGGACUGCUAUGACCAUGGACCACUUCCUAUCUGUGGGACUGGGAUGGGCUGCUAUGACCAUGGACCACUUCCUAUCUGUGGGACUGGGAUGGGCUGCUAUGACCAUGGACCACUUCCUAUCUGUGGGACUGGGAUGGACUGCUAUGACCAUGGACCACUUCCUAUCUGUGGGACUGGGAUGGGCUGCUAUGACCAUGGCUCAUAACUGUACUAAGGUGCCAUUAUAAUUAGCCUACUGUUCACUUCUGAUUAGUGCACAUCGGAUAACACAAUCUUUGUGUAAGUGCAUCAGUCCCAAUUCAGAUAUCCACAGCGGAUUUGGUAUAUCUGUGCCUGAUAUCUAUAUAAUAGUUAUAAACUAUUGCAGAUAGUAAAAGUCAACUGUACCCUCAGUGACCUGACAACCAGAUACAAUUCGCUGUACUGGUCAUAAAAAGGUACAUUGGCAUUUGUUGAUGGACAAACCGUAGUGAACUGUAAAUGGUUAUUUGUUUUGUGGCCGGAGUCUGUUGGCAGCUGCCAAACUGGAGGUGCACACCAAUACUCUGACAUCAAACGACAUUAACCCUCACACCUCCGCAGUUCUCAUUUGUUCAAUGUUUUCUGUAUACACAGCAGACACAGAUCUUAUCUCUUGAAACACUGUGGCAACAUUUUCCAAUCAGUCUUUUCCAGGUUUAACUGUCUUUAUUCAAAGUAGAUGCAAUAGCAAAGAUGAUGUUUUUUUUUGUAAUGAAAUCUAAGCAGCCUAAAAUUACAUUACAUUGCCUGAAUGUUGUCAAUUGGUUAUUAUAAUAAUGUUAAGAGAUAUAAACUAGAAAUGUUUGUUUCAUUUUAAUUUACAAUAUAGUCGUCCAUGCUUGUCUAUUCAAAAACUGGAUCACUCUUUAGAAUAAAGUCAAAUCAAAGCUCAUGAAUAAAGCAUUUUUAAAUGAUUUACAAACAAUACAAACCCUGAUUAUCUGACUCGACUGGCCUGUUAGUAUCCAGGGUCUGUAGAUGUGUGCCAGGCUCUGUAGGAAUAUGUCUGAUAUUUAGUUGACUUGAUUACGCAGGAAAACAACCGAAUAUCAAACAUAUCACACAGCCCCUGGCCAAACAGGACCCCAUGCAGACAUCCUGUCUUCUGCCUGAAAGGAGACAGAUAUGGGUGGGUUUUUAGGACAGAUCAUUUGUGUGCUGGUGUUAAGAGUUAGAGAGAUGAUGAAAAAAGAAACAUCAGGAAAAGGUGAAUUUGGACAUCAACAUGAACAAUUUAUUUAAAAAAUAAAAAACAGUAGUAUAAACUGGUUUAAGACAUUUGAUGUAAGUGCACAUUUAACAUGUUAUUUAGUUUCAUAGGGAGAGGACCAGACAUGAAUGGUAUCCAGAGUUCCACCUACAGCAAAAUAACAGCAGAGGGAAGAGCCCUUUGUGGGGAGGGAGUGAAGGUGGGGUUGGUAGGGACAGACGAAACAGAUGAAAGACAGGAAACCAACUGAUCCAACAGUCCUACAGAGCAAGAGAGAGAGAGAAUCUUAUACUUACAAUGUUUUCUAUGUCCUAAUAGCGUAGUCCUCUUUAUCUUGGUCCAGUGUAUGUGUGUGUCAUAUCCAUUGCCCAUGUUCUGUGUUGUCGACAUGAAGAGCAACAGCCGUUCGAUGCAUGUCCCAUUCACACAUCUACUCUAGUUACAAAGGUGUUAGGUCUCAGCAUGUGGGUGCGUAGGUUUGUGAAGUUUCCGUAAAGUAUGUAAGUACAAGUCUGUCUUUUUAAAGUGCUGGGGAAUUUGAGAACACAUGUGUGUGUGUGUGUAGCUGUGUGGUGUGUAGCUGUGUGUCAGUGUGUGGUGUGGUUGUGGUCUGUGCAGGAGUUUGUGUGAGUUCCCUG
rnacentral:lncRNA from 13 species